rnacentral:rRNA from 1 species
UACGUAGGGUGCGAGCGUUAAUCGGAAUUACUGGGCGUAAAGCGUGCGUAGGCGGUUCGUUAAGUUCGUCGUGAAAGCCCCGGGCUCAACCUGGGAAUGGCGAUGGAAACUGGCGGGCUGGAGUAUGGCAGAGGGGGGUGGAAUUCCGCGUGUAGCAGUGAAAUGCGUAGAGAUGCGGAGGAACACCAAUGGCGAAGGCAGAUCUCUGGGCCGUAACUGACGCUGAGGAGCGAAAGCAUGGGGAGCGAACAGG